CACAAGGAACCGCCUCUCGCUCUGUGUCUUCUUAUCGGGAAGGGAUGCAACGUCCGUGAGGCGCGCGCCCUCCCCCUCCCCCCCCCGCCUCUGCUACGGUCGGCACUGCCGCUCGGCAGCCUGACACCUCGCAGAAGCGGGGCGAAGACCGAAAGGGAGCGACGGAAGAAGGGCGCUGGGCGGCGUCACGGACCGUCGCCUCGGUCUUGUGCAUGCUUUAGCUUGGUGCUCGCCGUCGCUGAAGCAACGCUGCAACCCAUGUGCGGCCCCUCUGCCCCCCUCCUCCUCUCCCCACCACCACCACCACCACCCACACCUCCAUCCCAACUUGCGUCGUUGCAGCAAGGAGGGCUUGUUGCGCAUGGGUGUGGUGAAGGUCAACUACGGAAAGAGCCGUGUAGAGUCACAACCGAGGCCACUCCCACGGUUAUCCCAUCACCCCACGUUGCCUUCCCACCUCACCCACCCACCCACCUCCCCCAUUCUUCGCACAAGAGGUCUGCGUGCGCGUGACUAUGCGAGGGCUAUCGGCUUGCACACCACACACACACACACCAACCGACACAGCGAGCAGAAGCAUAUUGCCAGUCGCCCUCUCUCCCCUCCCCCACUGCCCCACUCGGAGGGGCGCAUCGACUCGUGUCUACUUCUUACGAGUACUGUGUGGGUGGGUGCAGGCGCCACUUCGUGUUCGUGGACGUGCUUUACACGUCUACGUAUCCUCUUCUUCCUUCUCUUACAUCCGCCCCCCCACCCACCCCCUGACCGCCACCACCACCGCGCCAACGUGACCCCUCUUACGCGCGCACACACAAGCUCUCUUCUUCAUUCUUUCGCUUCGCCUUGCUGGCGUACAUUUUAUAUUCGGUGUCGUGGUCGUUCACGUGUGUGCGUGCGUGUGUGGGUGGGUGCAGCGUGGCAAGCGGCGCCCCCGUUCAUUGAGCAGCUCCAUCUCCUGUUGUAGCUGACUUUUCUUUUUCUCUCUUGCAUCUUUCACAUCCUCCCUCAUCGUGUCUACCGCACCCAACCAACCAAUCCCCUAGCCCCCUCCAUUCAUUGUCAUUCGCGUGUGUGUGUGUGUGUGUGUGUGUGUUUGUGUGUGUGUGUGGCGUAGCCGUAGAAGAUAG
rnacentral:misc_RNA from 1 species